UACGUAGGGGGCAAGCGUUGUCCGGAAUUAUUGGGCGUAAAGCGCGCGCAGGCGGCCUCUUAAGUCUGAUGUGAAAGCCCCCGGCUCAACCGGGGAGGGCCAUUGGAAACUGGGAGGCUUGAGUAUAGGAGAGAAGAGUGGAAUUCCACGUGUAGCGGUGAAAUGCGUAGAGAUGUGGAGGAACACCAGUGGCGAAGGCGACUCUUUGGCCUAUAACUGACGCUGAGGGACGAAAGCGUGGGUCGCGAAUGGG
rnacentral:misc_RNA from 1 species